UUCGCUUACAUUUUUUGAAUCGUGAUGAUGGAGUUAAAGUUGGGCAGCAAUGUCUUGUUUCGGGAUAUGGGUUUAAAGAAAACGGUGAUUCUGGUGGUCCGCUCGUUUGCAGAGGCGUUCUCGUUGGGAUUGUAGCUUGGGGUGGAAUAUGCGGAAAGCAUCCAGGUGUUUACACAAGGAUUUCGACGUACACCUCUGAUAUAAAUCUACCACUCGAAAUAAACGCCUCUGAAACACAAGUAAAGCAUUUUGUUCCAUGGAUAAACCCAUUUUGUAUUUGUGUAUUUUCUUUUUUCAUAAUAAAUCUUAACUGAUUUCUUGAUAAA